UACGUGGGGCGCAAGCGUUGUCCGGAAUUAUUGGGCGUAAAGAGCUCGUAGGCGGUCUGUCACGUCUGCCGUGAAAACCCGAGGCUUAACCUCGUGGCUUGCGGUGGAUACGGGCAGACUAGAGGUAGGUAGGGGAGAAUGGAAUUCCCGGUGUAGCGGUGAAAUGCGCAGAUAUCGGGAGGAACACCGGUGGCGAAGGCGGUUCUCUGGGCCUUACCUGACGCUGAGGAGCGAAAGCGUGGGGAGCAAACAGG
rnacentral:rRNA from 1 species